CCUACGGGGGGCAGCAGUGGGGAAUAUUGCACAAUGGGGGAAACCCUGAUGCAGCAACGCCGCGUGAGUGAAGAAGUAUUUCGGUAUGUAAAGCUCUAUCAGCAGGGAAGAGAAUGACGGUACCUGACUAAGAAGCCCCGGCUAACUACGUGCCAGCAGCCGCGGUAAUACGUAGGGGGCGAGCGUUAUCCGGAUUUACUGGGUGUAAAGGGAGCGUAGACGGUUCUGCAAGUCUGAAGUGAAAGCCCGUGGCUUAACUGCGGAACGGCUUUGGAAACUGUGGAACUGGAGUGCUGGAGAGGCAAGCGGAAUUCCUAGUGUAGCGGUGAAAUGCGUAGAUAUUAGGAGGAACACCAGUGGCGAAGGCGACGAUCUGGCCUGCAACUGACGCUCAGUCCCGAAAGCGUGGGGAGCAAAUAGGAUUAGAUACCCUUGUAGUC
rnacentral:rRNA from 1 species